CUGGACCUAAUUGUGACCUGGGAGCCCUGUCUAAAGGACGGACUGGCAACCAAAGCCGACUUUCUCCCCAGGACUUUGAGAAGCAGCACCUCCUCAGGGGAUGGCGUCUCAGAGAGCAACUGAGAUAUACUCAGACUCAAAAUAUACUCAACUUUCCUUCAUCUAGUGUAUUCUUUAUCUUGAUCUGAUGUCCUGGACGUUUCUCACAGAAGAAGGUUAAUAGGAGAUCAAGAUUGGCAGGAAGAGGGAAGAACGGAGGUGGGGAUUUGACUACAUGGGCCAGAAGGGGAACAAGCAGGAAUAUGGGUAGCUGAGAAGAGAACUGUGUAGAAGAAAAGGUGCCUUUGGUAAAAAGAGAUGGUUAAAAAGAUAAGGAGAGAAGUGGUGUUAAACGAUGGAUUGAAGACAUUAAUUUAUGUUUCUGCCCUCCCCAGUUCCCACCAAAUUGAUAGUAAAGUAAUUAAAAUCAUAAGAUUUUAGAAAAUAAGAGGAGAGGCAACAAUGGAUGGGAGAUGUCAGCAUGUUCUUGGAAGAAUGAAACCAGAAGGCAGGAAGAUGGAAACCAAGGGCUGGUGAUGAGAGUUUUGACCUGUUCAGGAUUUACCAGCAACAGGGCCUGAUCUCGGAUUCCAGAGGAGACUUGGUUUACAUGGUCUCCUAUUUUUUGACGCGCUUUGGAAGAGAAUAACAUGGUCAGGCCUAAGAGUAGCUGUGAAAUAAAGGAAGCAUGUCUUCAGUGCC